rnacentral:rRNA from 1 species
CCCUUAGAUGUUCUGGGCCGCACGCGUGCUACACUGAGUGGAUCAGCGGGUCAGGUUGCGCGAAAGUGUUUCCUAAUCUUGAAAUCCGCUCGUGAUGGGGAUUGACGGUUGCAAUUUUCUGUCAUGAACGAGGAAUACCUUGUAAGCGCGGGUCAUCAUCCCGCGCUGAAUACGUCCCUGCCCUUUGUACACACCGCCCGUCGCUCCUACCGAUUGAAUGCUCAGGUGAGCCAUUCGGACUUUCAUCAUGCUGGUUUCCAGUUUUGAUGAAGGAAAGUCUUGCGAACCUUAUCAUUUAGAGGAAGGAGAAGUCGUAACA